rnacentral:rRNA from 1 species
UACGAAGGGGGCUAGCGUUGUUCGGAAUUACUGGGCGUAAAGGGUUUGUAGGCGGUCUUUUAAGCCAGUGGUGAAAGCCCGGGGCUUAACCCCGGAAUUGCCAUUGGUACUGGAAGGCUAGAGAGUGUUAGAGGAAAGUGGAAUUCCUAGUGUAGGAGUGAAAUCCGUAGAGAUUAGGAGGAAUAUCGAUGGCGAAGGCAGCUUUCUGGGACGGUACUGACGCUGAGACGCGAAAGCGUGGGGAGCGAACAGG